rnacentral:lncRNA from 1 species
UUUGGCAAGUCGCGACAACGGACACCACUCCACUCUCUGUAACAAACUCUACGUGACCUUGAAUGACCCCUGACGCCACUACUCUCUAUAACAAACUCCACGCAACUCUGAACAGCCCACUACCAGACAAUUACAGAUGUCGCUAUCAAUCAGUUACGCUCUCCAUCUAUAAAAAGGGAUCCACAGAUACAUUCUUUUCUAAGCUCUAAACUCUAUUCCAAAACUCUGCUAAAAUUUUCACUCGAAC